GACGAACGCUGGCGGCGUGCUUUAUACAUGCAAGUCGAACGAUGAAGUUCCUUCGGGAAUGGAUUAGUGGCGAACGGGUGAGGAACACGUGAGAAACCUGCAUUUCAUUCUGGGAUAACACCGGGAAACCGGUGCUAAUACGGGAUACUCCGUCUUGGCGGCAUCGCCGAGCCGGGAAAAAAUUUUGAUGAAAGAUGGUCUCGCGGCCGAUCAGCGAGUUGGUGAGGUAAAGGCGUACCAAGGCGACGACGGAUAGCCGGCCUGAGCGGGCGCACGUCCAAACUAGGAGUGAGACACAGCCCAAACUCCUACGUGAGGCAUCAGUAGGAAAUAUUGGGCAAUGGGCGAAAGCCUGACCAAGAGACGCAGCGUGAGGGAUGAAGGUCUUCGUAUUGUAAACCUCUUUCAGUAGGGAAGAAGCGAAAGUGACGGUACCUAAAGAAGAAGCACCGGCUAACUAUGUGCCAGCAGCCGCCGUAA
rnacentral:rRNA from 1 species